UAUAGAUGGAUCCGCGCUGCAUUAGCUAGUUGGUAAGGUAACGGCUUACCAAGGCAACGAUGCAUAGCCGACCUGAGAGGGUGAUCGGCCACACUGGAACUGAGACACGGUCCAGACUCCUACGGGAGGCAGCAGUAGGGAAUCUUCCGCAAUGGGCGAAAGCCUGACGGAGCAACGCCGCGUGAGUGAUGAAGGUCUUCGGAUCGUAAAACUCUGUUAUUAGGGAAGAACAUAUGUGUAAGUAACUGUGCACAUCUUGACGGUACCUAAUCAGAAAGCCACGGCUAACUACGUGCCAGCAGCCGCGGUAAUACGUAGGUGGCAAGCGUUAUCCGGAAUUAUUGGGCGUAAAGCGCGCGUAGGCGGUUUUUUAAGUCUGAUGUGAAAGCCCACGGCUCAACCGUGGAGGGUCAUUGGAAACUGGAAAACUUGAGUGCAGAAGAGGAAAGUGGAAUUCCAUGUGUAGCGGUGAAAUGCGCAGAGAUAUGGAGGAACACCAGUGGCGAAGGCGACUUUCUGGUCUGUAACUGACGCUGAUGUGCGAAAGCGUGGGGAUCAAACAGGAUUAGAUA
rnacentral:rRNA from 1 species